rnacentral:rRNA from 1 species
GGACUACAGGGGUAUCUAAUCCUGUUCGCUCCCCACGCUUUCGCGCCUCAGCGUCAGGUACAGUCCAGAAAGUCGCCUUCGCCACUGGUGUUCCUCCUAAUAUCUACGCAUUUCACCGCUACACUAGGAAUUCCACUUUCCUCUCCUGCCCUCAAGAUAUCCAGUUUUAAGUGCAGUCGCAAGGUUGAGCCCUGCGUUUUCACACCUAACUUAAAUACCCGCCUACGCGCCCUUUACGCCCAGUAAUUCCGGACAACGCUCGCUCCCUACGUAUUACCGCGGCUGCUGGCAC